rnacentral:tRNA from 1 species
UAAAAAGUAGUGUAUAUAGCCCAUAGGAAUUUGAAUCCUAAAGUAAAAAUUAAAUUUUUCUUUUUAG